rnacentral:rRNA from 1 species
UUGAACGCUGGCGGUAUGCUUAACACAUGCAAGUCGAACGGAAACGAUACUAGCUUGCUAGUAGGCGUCGAGUGGCGGACGGGUGAGUAACGCGUAGGAAUCUGCCUGAUAGUGGGGGAUAGCCCGAAGAAAUUCGGAUUAAUACCGCAUAAUCUAUUCGUAGUAAAGUGGGGGACUUUCGAGCCUCACGCUAUCAGAUGAGCCUGCGUAAGAUUAGCUUGUUGGUAGGGUAAAAGCCUACCAAGGCGACGAUCUUUAGCUGGUCUGAGAGGAUGAUCAGCCACAUCGGGACUGAGACACGGCCCGAACUCCUACGGGAGGCAGCAGUGGGGAAUAUUGGACAAUGGGGGCAACCCUGAUCCAGCAAUACCGCGUGUGUGAAGAAGGCCUGAGGGUUGUAAAGCACUUUCAAUUGUGAAGAAAAGUUAGCGGUUAAUAACCGUUAGCCUUGACGUUAACUUUAGAAGAAGCACCGGCUAACUCCGUGCCAGCAGCCGCGGUAAUACGGAGGGUGCAAGCGUUAAUCGGAAUUACUGGGCGUAAAGCGUGCGUAGGCGGUUUAUUAAGUCAGAUGUGAAAGCCCCGGGGCUUAACCUGGGAACUGCAUUUGAAACUGGUCAACUAGAGUAUGGUAGAGGAAAGUGGAAUUUCUGGUGUAGCGGUGAAAUGCGUAGAUAUCAGAAGGAACAUCAAUGGCGAAAGGCAGCUUUCUGGACCAAUACUGACGCUGAGGUACGAAAGCGUGGGUAGCAAACAGGAUUAGAUACCCUGGUAGUCCACGCCGUAAACGAUGAUAACUAGCCGUUGGGGGGAUUUACCCUUUAGUGGCGAAGCUAACGCGUUAAGUUAUCCGCCUGGGGAGUACGGCCGCAAGGUUAAAACUCAAAGGAAUUGACGGGGACCCGCACAAGCGGUGGAGCAUGUGGUUUAAUUCGAUGCAACGCGAAGAACCUUACCUGGUCUUGACAUCCUGCGAACUUUCUAGAAAUAGAUUGGUGCCUUCGGGAACGCAGUGACAGGUGCUGCAUGGCUGUCGUCAGCUCGUGUCGUGAGAUGUUGGGUUAAGUCCCGUAACGAGCGCAACCCCUAUCCUUAUUUGCCAGCACAUCAUGGUGGGAACUAUAAGGAGACUGCCGGUGAUAAACCGGAGGAAGGCGGGGACGACGUCAAGUCAUCAUGGCCCUUACGACCAGGGCUACACACGUGCUACAAUGGGAAGGACAAAGAGCCGCGAAGCCGCGAGGUGUAGCUAAUCUCAUAAACCUUUUCGUAGUCCGGAUUGGAGUCUGCAACUCGACUCCAUGAAGUCGGAAUCGCUAGUAAUCGUAGAUCAGAAUGCUACGGUGAAUACGUUCCCGGGUCUUGUACACACCGCC